AAUUUAAUUAGUUUAAAUUCAAAACCAUUUCUCUUGGUCACAGGGUAUUUUUCAAAAACAUAUAUAUAAAUAUAGAUAUAUGUUCACUUAUACACAAUAUUCUUUGCUCAAAAAUGCUUCGUCGCCACUUUUAUGACUCUAAAAAAGCAACACAAGAAAAAUAAAUUAACAAAAAAGCGAAAACAUAACGCCCAUAAAACCAGAAAUCUUGCUAAGAAAUUUGUUGGAGCCACCACUACAAUACACAUAUCGCCACACAUGCAUCACAUCCUGAUAUGGCGAAACUAAAAGCAAAACCAAAAUGAGCAAGUGGGGAAACUAAAAAUGGAAAAAAAUAAACAAAAUCGCUUUGUCGAAAUUGCAACAUAACCUAAAUGAUUUAUAGCCUUUGUGAAUAUUUAAUGGCGCAGCCUGUCUGCCGAGAUGAUGAAAAGCACACGAGAUGAAAAAAGGGAAAAUGCAAUAAAAUCAUGCAUAAAAGACAACAACAACAACAGCACACAAGCACACACAAAAAACAAUGGACAAAGCCUUCUUGCAGGUCAGCGCUAACGAAUGAAGUGAAGAGGUAAAAUACACAUGUAUGUAUAUAUACAUAUGCAUGUGUGUAUGUGUGAAGAAAGUGUAUACAAGGCAAAUGCAAAGUAAUAAAGAGUGAAGAAUAACUACUGAAUGUAUGAAAGUUGUUUGCUAGAUGCGCCGGAGCGGUGUAAAGUUGCGAGGAAUUUGUAAGGAUCAGUUAGUUCAGCCCUUUCUGACCAUUUGCGCUUGCUGUUGACGGUGUGCAAGUUAGCUGCUAAACAAAAAAAAAAAACAAAAAUAAAUAAAGUCAAAGACAAUUUAUUGCAAACACAAGAUGACGUAAAAUAUGUACUUUCGUUUGAGUGCGUCAAGAAAAACAAUUCAAGAAGAAAAUAUGAAAUCGAAAUAAACUACGAAAAUAUGAUGAAAUGCGAUUUGAAAAAGAGUGAAUAAAUACAUUAUACAGGCAGCAAAUUUUGGUCACGAAA